rnacentral:tRNA from 3 species
GCCCUUAUAGCUCAGUGGUAGAGCGCUUGACUUGUAAUCAAGAGGUCCGCGGUUCAAUCCCGCGUGGGGGCA